rnacentral:lncRNA from 1 species
CUCUGGGCAGACUGACUACUCAGCAAUAGACCCAGUACAGUCAGUCCAGAGGAAAUCAUAUAGGAAAACCUAUACUUUAGAGGACAUAAUUCAUAUUUCAAGAUGCCCUCUGUACUCCAAAUUUUGAUGAGAAUUCUCUUUCAGGUGUCCUUUACAGUAAUACCACACUCCAGCCAAUGUGGAUUUUUUGAAGAAGGUGCAGGUCACAGAGAACUUCCUCCAGCAGAUGGCCAGACUCCAAGGAGACACAGAAGACUUGACUGUAAUGAGGUGUCUGCUACUGAGAGACAUUGCACUGGAUGUACAGUAGCAUAUGCCAACAAUCUGUCCCUGGCCAAUAAAACAAAAUGCAGUAACUUUGGCUGGGGAAUUCAGGCAUACAUCAUGCUAAGACCUUGUUGUAUUCCAAUGCUUAAGGCAUGUGAGAAAUGAGUUUAAAACCCCUCUAGCAGAAGAGGAAUUCUACCCAUGUUGCUCAGAAAUGCUGGAUAAAAUUUCUGCUGCAUUGUGAAACAAAUAGUUCAGGCAACAUAACCCUAUUGUUUUGUGUAUAAGGUUCAGUUGCCUCCAUAUAAUUUUCUGGUGCUGUAUCGGAUGCCCAGGGUUAUUCUACAUCCUUCCCAGGUGGUAUUCCAGAAAUGUCCAAGUCUCCCAGAGAUUAUUUAUCAAAUUUGUUCCCAUGUGGAUGUCACAAAUAUCAAUGGGCAUAUAAAAUGAUGCUUAAAUAAUUGAAGACUGUCUUAUCAUCUUUUGAGAUUAGACUGUUGCAGGUAUCUAACAACAGGACAGUUUUAAGGACAUAUGUUCUUCAUUGGGGUGAGGAAGGAAACAGUCUUGUCUCAAACAUUGGAUCCAGUUUUGGUAAGUUUCACCAGAGCUGGGAGUUUCAUGGGGCAACAGGGUACAAAACCAGACUCAUCAGUGCUGCACAGUCUUCUGAUGUGUAAAUCAAAGCAAGCUAAAACCGGACUCAAAACAAUCCCCCAGGAGUGGCAGGUAAGCCAUACUCUCAUUGAGGACUGUGAAUUUUAGGCUGUUGCAUUCAUUUAAAGGCAAAUCAUGCCUGGUUAUACAUACAUCGCAUGCCCAGGUGAGCGAACAGAAAUGCAGGUAGGAAGCUGUUACUGAUGAGGAAGUUAAAGUACAGCCUUAUUUCUUUCAAUAAAUUUUUUUUUUUUUUUCAGAGGUUGACUUCUUUCACUUUCUUAUAUAAGUUUUAAGGACAGAGGAUCUAAUUAUGAGUACAUUAAAGGAGAUGUGAAUGAGAAAUAAUUUGACUGGGUUGAAUUUUGUUUCACUUACACAUCAAAGUCAC